GUGGUUUCUGCUCGUUGUCAUUGUUCAGUCGUUCAGUCAGUCGUGUUCGACUCUGUACGACGCCACGGACUGCAGCACACCAGGCUUCCCUGUCCUUCACCAUCUCCCGGAAUUGUUCAAACUCACAUCCAUUGAGCCGAUGAUGCCAUCCAACCAUCUCAUCCUCUGCCGUCCCCUUCUCCUCCUCCUUUCCCAGCAUCAGGGUCUUUUCCAAUGAGUCUGCUGUUCACAUCAGGUGGCCAAAGUAUUGGAGCUUCAGCUUCAGCAUCAGUCCUUCCAAUGAAUAUUCAGGGUUGAUUUCCUUUAGGAUUGACUGGUUUGAUCUUCUUGCUAUCCAAGGGACUCUCAAGAGUUUUCUCCACUUCAAAAGCAUCAAUUCUUUGGCACUCAAUCUUCUUUAUGGUCCAACUCUCUCAUUCUUACAUGACUACUGGAAAAAACAUAGCUUUGACUAUAUGGGCCUUUGUAGGGAAAGUAACACCUCUGCUUUCUUUCUUUCUUUUUUUUUUUUUUAACCUCUGCUUUCUAAUACACUGUCUAGGUUUUGUCAUAGCUUUUCUUCCAAGGACCAAGAGUCUUUUAAUUUCAUGGCUGCAAUCACCAUCCGCAGUGAUUUUGAAGCUCAAGAAAAUAAAGUCUGUCACUGUUUCCAUCUUCGCCCCAUCUAUUUGCCAGGACGUGAUGGGACCCGUUUCUGCUGCUGCUGCUGCUGCUGCUGCUAAGUCGCUUCAGUCGUGUCCGACUCUGUGCGACCCCAUAGACGGCAGUCCACCAGGCUCCCCCGUCCCUGGGAUUCUCCAGGCAAGAACACUGGAGUGGGUUCUGCUAGUGGAGGUAAAUCCCCAGCCCGUCCCCGGGUAUAGCUGUACGCUGGGCCUCAUGGUGGCGCAUUUCCAAAGCAGCAAGGGCGCUCCCAGCUGGGGAGGAAGUAAAGCUCUUCCCAAGUGCGGUGGCUGUCGUCAGGGUGCUGGAAGCGCUUUCCGAUUCCUCUCUUGCCGCCACCUCCGUCGUCCUUACACAACCCGCACCCCUCAGUUAGCCUUUAAGAACCUUCGGUUACAGUCAGUGACUAUCCACUUGCGGUCUUCCCAGCUCCCCCUUCCAACGUCACCAUCGAAACCCAGCAGCGUUUUCUGUCCUUUCAAAAGCUUUCAGUUUCAUUUCGGUAUUGUUCUUCGUUUGCUC
rnacentral:lncRNA from 1 species